rnacentral:lncRNA from 1 species
CCAGGUCAGUGUGUUAUAUAGUAGUUGGUCCAGGUCAGUGUGUUAUAUAGUAGUUGGUCCAGGUCAGAUCAGUGUGUUAUAUAGUAGUUGGUCCAGGUCAGGUCAGUGUGUUAUAUAGUAGUUGGUCCAGGUCAGGUCAGUGUGUUAUAUAGUAGUUGAUCCAGGUCAGUGUGUUAUAUAGUAGUUGGUCCAGGACAGAUCAGUGUGUUAUAUAGUAGUUGGUCCAGGUCAGAUCAGUGUGUUAUAUAGUAGUUGGUCCAGGUCAGAUCAGUGUGUUAUAUAGUAGUUGGUCAAGGUCAGAUCAGUGUGUUAUAUAGUAGUUGGUCCAGGUCAGAUCAGUGUGUUAUAUAGUAGUUGGUCCAGGUCAGGUCAGUGUGUUAUAUAGUAGUUGGUCCAGGACAGAUCAGUGUGUUAUAUAGUAGUUGGUCCAGGUCAGUGUGUUAUAUAGUAGUUGGUCCAGAUCAGAUCAGUGUGUUAUAUAGUAGUUGGUCCAGGUCAGAUCAGUGUGUUAUAUAGUAGUUGGUCCAGGUCAGUGUGUUAUAUAGUAGUUGGUCCAGGUCAGAUCAGUGUGUUAUAUAGUAGUUGGUCCAGGUCAGGUCAGUGUGUUAUAUAGUAGUUGGUCCAGGUCAGAUCAGUGUGUUAUAUAGUAGUUGGUCCAGG